rnacentral:tRNA from 1 species
UAGCUCAGUUGGUAGAGCAUCUGACUUUUAAUCAGAGGGUCAGAGGUUCGAAUC